ensembl:lncRNA
CGAUUAUCGUCGUUUCUAAGAUACUUCUCGGCGGUGAAAGACUGCGAUGUGGACAUCGCUAUCGAAGCUUGAAGUCCCCGGUCGCCGGUGAUUGACUUUGUGCAUGUUCACACGGACAGGAGCAGAACUAUUCAGCGACUAACGCACAGAGGUCCACGCGGCAAUACACAGCGGCUGACUGGAUGACGUCACCACAGUAGGCGGUCCUUCUUUACGCGCGCGCACGGAAACAAAUGAAGGGGCAGCAGCGGGUAAACGGUUUGCGGACAUCUACAUUAUUUCCCAUACAUUUUGCAUUCAUUCUACCAACACAAGUUGGAGUGACAGAAGGACCUUUAUCUAUUAACUUUGCAUUGUUACCAGCUAUUGCUCAAUAAAACAAGUGUACUAAUACUGCAGGGACAAAGUCUGAGCUGAAUACAUAUAUAAUAACAACGUGGGGGGGAAGCAUUGAGGAGAGAACACACACACGUGCUGUUAUUGUAACCUGCGACAAACGUUCCUCAUCACACUUUUGUUCGGGUUAAGAUUAAGGUACCGGGACGGCGAAGCCAGAUGCACCAGUAUCUGCAAAAUGAAGAGGCGGACUCACCAACACAAGUGUCACACUUUGGCACCAACAAAGUGCUCGGGAUCAGGAAGCUGCAGAGAUGGAAUGUGCUUUACAGAUGUUAUUGUACUGCUGGACAGUGCCGUCAAUAAAUUGCCACAAUUUUUCGAGAUGCACUCAAAUGCCUGAUUGGUGUUACAAAAACUUGUUAUAUUUAUCUCUUCAUUCUACUUGUAAAUAGGUCAAUAUAUAGAAUGUGAAAUGAUGCCAUGACCAGCAUGUUUCCCUGUUGGCAUGUUGUGAUCAGUGUCUCACAUGGCUUGUGGAAAACUCCCAACGGCUUUUUUCUUGCCACUCUUCUAUCAAGGCCAGAUUUAUGGAGUACACGGUUACUAGUUGUCCUGUGGACAGAUUCUGUCCACCUCCAGAGAUACCAUGUGACGCCUCCAGUGUCCUCAGGAUAAAUGUGACCUGUGACUUUGGUGACCUGACGGUGGGAUCCAUCCACAGCUCCAGAGGUCACUCUAAGGGUCACAUGAAAGCAAACAUGGAGGCAAUGACGAAAAGAGAAUGAAUUCAUUUCUUUAUUGUUCUUGUCUAGUGAGAAAAAUAUAAAAUAUUCUACAGUCAAAAUGUCUGAAUACCAUAAAGUCAGUCAUUUUCCUUAUACCGCAGCAUUUGAGCGACAUUAUUUCUUAUCACCAGGGCCCUUUGGCCCUUUGAUUUUGGAUGGAAGUGUGACAAAUCAAC